rnacentral:lncRNA from 1 species
AUAUAUUUUAUUUAAAAAUCAAUUAAAGCAAGUUCUGAAUCUGUAACUACUGUCUUUAAAAGAAUGUUUCUAAGAACUAGCUCUCCAGAGCUGUAAUUUUAAAUACGGCAAUUUUAACAGUACAUUUUAAGAGGUUUAAGAUUUAAAUAAAAUUAUAAAAGCCUGGUACUUUUGUUUACUGCUAGACCAUAUUCUUCCAUUCUUUUAAGUUCUAGAAAGUAAUAGGAUUGUUGAAACCUACAACAUAACAUAUCAUUGUUCUUUUUAUGUCCCCUAAGUAUUCUAAAAAUAGGGGCAAAAGCUUCAGUGUGAAACAAAAUCUCUGUGAAACAAAAUCUCUAAACUACUGAAGAAUUCAAUCUACAUAACCUCCAUUUAAUAUCAGAAGCAGCAGCUGUGUGUAAGAGGAAAACCAUAUAAUAGCUUAUGCCAUUUUUAACCAUGUAAAAUAAAAUUUAAGUCGCAAAUACCAAUUUUGAACGUAUCUUUCAACCUCUACAGGACACAAGGCAAUGCUGAAGUUACUAUAACUUCUAAUUUUAAAAUAGCAUUUAAAUAAAGGUGAUGUCAGUUAGGAAGAUAGAUUUUCAAGGAAAGGCAGAUUUAUUUUUUUAUUCAAAGCAACAGUAGUUUUCCCUCUAAAGCCUCUUUUGUAUUUAUUCUAUUAGUAAGCUAUAAUGCGUUCUACGUAGUUUAUCUGAGCAGUUCUGAACCCACCCAUAGUUGCCUCUCCUUACAUCCAUCUGAUUGUACCACUUCUGUAGCAAAGCCCAAGGUAGCUGCCCAUAUACAGGUUGUGUAGAG